GUCCCUUCGGGGAUAAUUGAUAAAACUGGAACGAUACAGAGAAGAUUAGCAUGGCCCUUGUGCAAGGAUGACACGCACAAAUCUAGAAAUGAUCCAAUAUUUU